UACGGGGGGUGCAAGCGUUGUCCGGAAUCAUUGGGCGUAAAGCGUUCGUAGGCGGUACAUUAAGUCUGGUGUUAAAACCUAGGGCUCAACUCUGGGCAGGCAUUGGAAACUGGUGAACUAGAAUGCGGCAGAGGUUAAGGGAAUUCCUGGUGUAGCGGUGAAAUGCGUAGAUAUCAGGAGGAACACCGGAGGCGAAAGCGCUUAACCGGGCCGAUAUUGACGCUGAGGAACGAAAGCCGGGGGAGCGAAU
rnacentral:rRNA from 1 species